CCUACGGGUGGCAGCAGUGAGGAAUAUUGGUCAAUGGCCGGAAGGCUGAACCAGCCAAGCCGCGUGAAGGACGAAGGUGCCAAGCAUUGGAAACUUCUUUUGUCAAGGGACAAAAUCAGGCUCGAGAGCCUGACCGAGGGUACUUGAAGAAAAAGCAUCGGCUAACUCCGUGCCAGCAGCCGCGCUAAUACGGGUGAUGCGAGCGUUAUCCGUAUUUAUUGGGUAUAAAGGGUGCGUAGGCGGACUGUGAAGUCAGCGGGAAAGCCCGGGGCUCAAACCCGGCGAGCCGUUGAUACUGGCUGUCGUGAGAUGGCGAGGGGUAUGCGGAAUGCGCAGUGUAGCGGUGAAAUGCUUAGAUAUUGCGCAGAACUCCGAUUGCGAAGGCAGCAUACCGGCGGCGAUCUGACGCUGAGGCACGAAAGCGUGGGUAUCGAACAGGAUUAGAUACCCCAGUAGUC
rnacentral:rRNA from 1 species